rnacentral:rRNA from 1 species
GACGAACGCUGGCGGCGUGCUUAACACAUGCAAGUCGAACGGAAAGGCCCUGCUUUUGUGGGGUGCUCGAGUGGCGAACGGGUGAGUAACACGUGAGUAACCUGCUCUUGACUUUGGGAUAACUUCAGGAAACUGGGGCUAAUACCGGAUAGGAGCUCCUGCUGCAUGGUGGGGGUUGGAAAGUUUCGGCGGUUGGGGAUGGACUCGCGGCUUAUCAGCUUGUUGGUGGGGUAGUGGCUUACCAAGGCUUUGACGGGUAGCCGGCCUGAGAGGGUGACCGGCCACACUGGGACUGAGAUACGGCCCAGACUCCUACGGGAGGCAGCAGUGGGGAAUAUUGCACAAUGGGCGGAAGCCUGAUGCAGCGACGCCGCGUGCGGGAUGACGGCCUUCGGGUUGUAAACCGCUUUCGGCUGUGACGAAGCGUGAGUGACGGUAACGGGUGAAGAAGCACCGGCUAACUACGUG